UACAGAGGGUGCGAGCGUUGUUCGGAAUUAUUGGGCGUAAAGAGCUCGUAGGCGGUUCGUCGCGUCGGCUGUGAAAUCCCGAGGCUCAACCUCGGGUCUGCAGUCGAUACGGGCGGACUGGAGUUCGGCAGGGGAGACUGGAAUUCCUGGUGUAGCGGUGAAAUGCGCAGAUAUCAGGAGGAACACCGGUGGCGAAGGCGGGUCUCUGGGCCUUACCUGACGCUGAGGAGCGAAAGCGUGGGGAGCGAACAGG
rnacentral:rRNA from 1 species